rnacentral:SRP_RNA from 1 species
GCUGGGUGUGGUGGCGCACACCUGUGGUCCCAGCUACUUGGGAGGCUGAGGCAGAAUUGUCGCUUAAACCCAGGAGGUGGACGUUGCAGUGAGCCAAGAUCGUGCCACUGCACUCUAGCUUGGGCAAUGGUGCAAGACUCCCUCUCAAAAAUAAAUAAAUAAAGUCAGUAUUUUUUUUUUUUUUAAGAUGGAGUGUCGCUCUGUUGCCAGGCUGGAGUGCAGUGGCACGAUCUCAGCUCACUGCAACCUCCACCUCCUGGGUUCAAGCGAUUCUCCUCCCU